AUCAGGAGCAUCUGUUGGCCUCAUGGCUAGCCUCUGUAUAACUCAUCCGAAGAUGAGAAGCAUCAGGUGGCCUCCUAUCGGCCUCUACUCAACUCGUUCGAGGAUAAGGAGCACCUGUUGACCUUAACGUUGGCCUCUACUUGACUCAUUUGAGGAUGAGGAGUGCCUGAUGGCCAUUGGUGGCCUCCAAUUGAUUUGUCUAAGGAUGAAG
rnacentral:lncRNA from 1 species